UCAGAACGAACGCUGGCGGCGCGCCUAAAACAUGCAAGUCGAACGAGAAAGUCCUUCGGGAUGAGUACAGUGGCGCACGGGUGAGUAACACGUGGAUAACCUACCAUUAGGACUGGGAUAACGUUCCGAAAGGAGCGCUAAUACCCGAUAAUGUUGAGAGAACAGUGGGGUUCACUCAAUGAAAACAUAGUAUAGUGGCCUAUUGAGGGGUCUGCGUCCCAUUAGCUUGUUGGUGAGGUAAAAGCUCAUCCAAGGCUCUGAUGGGUAGCUGGUCUGAGAGGAUGAUCAGCCACACUGGAACUGAAACACGGUCCAGACUCCUACGGGAGGCAGCAGUUGGGAAUAUUGCGCAAUGGGGGAAACCCUGACGCAGCGACGCCGUGUGAGCGAUGAAGGCCUUCGGGUUGUAAAGCUCUGUCAGAAGGGAAGAAUGUACAUACGAAGAGUAUGUGUUGACGGUACCUCCAAAGGAAGCACCGGCUAACUCCGUGCCAGCAGCCGCGGUAAUACGGAGGGUGCAAGCGUUGUUCGGAAUCACUGGGCGUAAAGAGUUCGUAGGCGGACCAAUUAGUAUGGGGUUAAAGACCGGGGCCCAACCUCGGAAAUGCUCUGUAAACGGUUGGUCUAGAGUACUGGAGAGGAUAGCAGAAUUCCUGGUGUAGAGGUGAAAUUCGUAGAUAUCAGGAGGAAUACCAGAGGCGAAGGCGACUAUCUGGCUAGGCACUGACACUAAAGAACGAAAGCGUGGGUAGCAAACAGGAUUAGAUACCCUGGUAGUCCACGCCCUAAACGAUGAUAACUAGACGUGGGUGUUGGUUGACAACGUCCGUGUCGUAGCUAACGCGUUAAGUUAUCCGCCUGGGGAGUACGGUCGCAAGACUAAAACUCAAAGGAAUUGACGGGGACCCGCACAAGCGGUGGAUUAUGUGGUUUAAUUCGAAGCAACGCGCAGAACCUUACCCGGACUUGACAUCCCAAGAAAAGCGCCAGAGAUGGUGCCUUAGGGUAUGGCAACAUAUCCUCUUGGUGAUAGGUGCUGCAUGGCUGUCGUCAGCUCGUGUUGUGAAAUAUUGGGUUAAGUCCCGCAACGAGCGCAACCCCUAUCUUUAGUUGCCAGCAUUAAGUUGGGCACUCUAGAGAGACUGCCUGCGUUAAGCAGGAGGAAGGUGGGGAUGACGUCAAGUCCUCAUGGCCUUUAUGUCCAGGGCUACACACGUAAUACAAUGGCAAGUACAAAACGUCGCAAGACCGCGAGGUGGAGCUAAUCGUAAAAAACUUGUCUCAGUUCGGAUUGAAGUCUGCAACUCGACUUCAUGAAGUUGGAAUCGCUAGUAAUCGCGGAUAAGUACGCCGCGGUGAAUACGUUCCCGGGUCUUGUACACACCGCCCGUCACACCAUGAAAGCUGACUGCGCCAGACGUCGUGUUAGUUAACCUUCGGGAAACGCACGCCCAAGGCUCGGUUGGUGAUUGGGGUG
rnacentral:rRNA from 1 species